AGAGUUUGAUCCUGGCUCAGGAUGAACGCUGGCGGCGUGCCUAACACAUGCAAGUCGAGCGAUUUACUUCGGUAAAGAGCGGCGGACGGGUGAGUAACGCGUGGGUAACCUGCCUCAUACACAUGGAUAACAUACCGAAAGGUAUGCUAAUACAAGAUAAUAUAAGAGAUUUGCAUGGAUUUCUUAUCAAAGCUCCGGCGGUAUGAGAUGGACCCGCGUCUGAUUAGCUAGUUGGUAAGGUAACGGCUUACCAAGGCGACGAUCAGUAGCCGACCUGAGAGGGUGAUCGGCCACAUUGGAACUGAGACACGGUCCAAACUCCUACGGGAGGCAGCAGUGGGGAAUAUUGCACAAUGGGCGAAAGCCUGAUGCAGCAACGCCGCGUGAGCGAUGAAGGCCUUCGGGUCGUAAAGCUCUGUCCUCAAGGAAGAUAAUGACGGUACUUGAGGAGGAAGCCCCGGCUAACUACGUGCCAGCAGCCGCGGUAAUACGUAGGGGGCUAGCGUUAUCCGGAUUUACUGGGCGUAAAGGGUGCGUAGGUGGUUUCUUAAGUCAGGAGUGAAAGGCUACGGCUCAACCGUAGUAAGCUCUUGAAACUGGGAAACUUGAGUGCAGGAGAGGAAAGUGGAAUUCCUAGUGUAGCGGUGAAAUGCGUAGAUAUUAGGAGGAACACCAGUAGCGAAGGCGGCUUUCUGGACUGUAACUGACACUGAGGCACGAAAGCGUGGGGAGCAAACAGGAUUAGAUACCCUGGUAGUCCACGCCGUGAACGAUGAGUACUAUGUGUCGGGGGUUACCCCCCUCGGUGCCGCAGCUAACGCAUUAAGUACUCCGCCUGGGGAGUACGCUCGCAAGAGUGAAACUCAAAGGAAUUGACGG
rnacentral:rRNA from 1 species